UAAUUAGUGACGCGCAUGAAUGGAUUAACGAGAUUCUCACUGUCCCUAUCUACUAUCUAGCGAAACCACAGCCAAGGGAACGGGCUUGGAAAAAUCAGCGGGGAAAGAAGACCCUGUUGAGCUUGACUCUAAUCUGGCAUUGUUCGGAGACAUGCCGAGGUGUAGCAUACGUGGGAGACCCGGACCAAGGCGGGCGGUUUCGGCCGUUCGUCUCCGGGCCGACCUUGAAAUACCACUACUCGCAUCGUUUCCCCACUUACUCGGUAGAGCGGAACGCGCGGUUCCGGCCGCGGGCGCGUCCGGCCGGCGGUCGUCGUCCCGUCGCGUCGUCGGUUUGCCGUCGGUUCGCCGGCGCGCUACUGGCGCGCGGCGUGGUCGCCGUGCCGUCGGCCUGUGCCCGUUCGUGCCGGGCCGCGAUUGAUAUUCCGGUAGCGUUAAGCACCAGCCGAGGGAUCCGGGCGUCAAACCGCGGACCGCGUCCGUCCGCGUACGGCCGACCGUCAAAAGUCGCCGUCCGCGUUCGCGGCGUAUCCGCGGGCCCGGUCCCUGGUGCGAUCCGUAUUCCGAGGACACCGCCAGGUGGGGAGUUUGACUGGGGCGGUACAUCUGUCAAAAAAUAACGCAGGUGUCCUAAGGCCAGCUCAGCGAGGACGUAAACCUCGCGUAGAGCAAAAGGGCAAAUGCUGGCUUGAUCCCGGACGCUCAGUACGCGUAUGGACUGCGAAAGCAUCGGCCUCUCGAUCCUCUCGUCCGCUGAAGAGUUUUCAGCGAGAGGUGACACAAAAGUU
rnacentral:ncRNA from 1 species